CUUUCUGGGGAAUUAGAAAGGUUUUUUCUGGAGGAUAUUAGUCAGGUUGGUGAUGUUGUGCUAAUCCCCGAUGAGAGUGUGAUGGAAAAUGAGUUGAAAAUGGUUGGACUGGAAACGUUGGUAUGUUGCACUCACUUAUUUUCAAUUCCUUCCUGUUUUAUGUAAAUAGGAGGACAUGAUUCCUACCGUGGUUAUUUGGUUAUGUCCAUUCACUCACAAGAUCUUGGCUCAAUUUUGAUAGCCUCGUCAAAUUGAAAUUUCUAACACCUUAUCCUUUAAAA